AUGAACGCUAGCUACAGGCUUAACACAUGCAAGUCGAGGGGCAUCAGGGUGUAGCAAUACACCGCUGGCGACCGGCGCACGGGUGAGUAACACGUAUCCAACCUGCCCUUUACUCGGGGAUAGCCUUUCGAAAGAAAGAUUAAUACCCGAUGGUAUAACAUGACCUCCUGGUUUUGUUAUUAAAGAAUUUCGGUAGAGGAUGGGGAUGCGUUCCAUUAGGCAGUUGGCGGGGUAACGGCCCACCAAACCUUCGAUGGAUAGGGGUUCUGAGAGGAAGGUCCCCCACAUUGGAACUGAGACACGGUCCAAACUCCUACGGGAGGCAGCAGUGAGGAAUAUUGGUCAAUGGGCGAGAGCCUGAACCAGCCAAGUAGCGUGAAGGAUGACCGCCCUAUGGGUUGUAAACUUCUUUUAUAUGGGAAUAAAGGGUGCCACGUGUGGCAUUUUGUAUGUACCAUAUGAAUAAGGAUCGGCUAACUCCGUGCCAGCAGCCGCGGUAAUACGGAGGAUCCGAGCGUUAUCCGGAUUUAUUGGGUUUAAAGGGAGCGUAGGUGGACAUGUAAGUCAGUUGUGAAAGUUUGCGGCUCAACCGUAAAAUUGCAGUUGAUACUGCGUGUCUUGAGUACAGUAGAGGUGGGCGGAAUUCGUGGUGUAGCGGUGAAAUGCUUAGAUAUCACGAAGAACUCCGAUUGCGAAGGCAGCUCACUGGACUGCAACUGACACUGAUGCUCGAAAGUGUGGGUAUCAAACAGGAUUAGAUACCCUGGUAGUCCACACAGUAAACGAUGAAUACUCGCUGUUUGCGAUAUACAGUAAGCGGCCAAGCGAAAGCAUUAAGUAUUCCACCUGGGGAGUACGCCGGCAACGGUGAAACUCAAAGGAAUUGACGGGGGCCCGCACAAGCGGAGGAACAUGUGGUUUAAUUCGAUGAUACGCGAGGAACCUUACCCGGGCUUUAAUUGCAAAUGAAUAUGCCGGAAACGGCAUAGCCGCAAGGCAUUUGUGAAGGUGCUGCAUGGUUGUCGUCAGCUCGUGCCGUGAGGUGUCGGCUUAAGUGCCAUAACGAGCGCAACCCUUAUCUUCAGUUACUAACAGGUUAUGCUGAGGACUCUGGAGAGACUGCCGUCGUAAGAUGUGAGGAAGGUGGGGAUGACGUCAAAUCAGCACGGCCCUUACGUCCGGGGCUACACACGUGUUACAAUGGGGGGUACAGAAGGCCGCUACACAGCGAUGUGAUGCCAAUCCCUAAAGCCCCUCUCAGUUCGGAUCGAAGUCUGCAACCCGACUUCGUGAAGCUGGAUUCGCUAGUAAUCGCGCAUCAGCCACGGCGCGGUGAAUACGUUCCCGGGCCUUGUACACACCGCCCGUCAAGCCAUGGGAGCCGGGGGUACCUGAAGUACGUAACCGCAAGGAGCGUCCUAGGGUAAAACUGGUGACUGGGGCU
rnacentral:rRNA from 1 species